rnacentral:rRNA from 1 species
AGAACUUUUCCAGAGAUGGUUUGGUGCCUUCGGGAACUCUGAGACAGGUGCUGCAUGGCUGUCGUCAGUUAGUGUUGUGAAAUGUUGGGUUAAGUCCCGCAACGAGCGCAACCCUUAUCCUUUGUUGCCAGCGGUUAGGCCGGGAACUCAAAGGAGACUGCCAGUGAUAAACUGGAGGAAGGUGGGGAUGACGUCAAGUCAUCAUGGCCCUUACGAGUAGGGCUACACACGUGCUACAAUGGCGCAUACAAAGAGAAGCGACCUCGCGAGAGCAAGCGGACCUCAUAAAGUGCGUCGUAGUCCGGAUUGGAGUCUGCAACUCGACUCCAUGAAGUCGGAAUCGCUAGUAAUCGUAGAUCAGAAUGCUACGGUGAAUACGUUCCCGGGUCUUGUACACACCG